rnacentral:rRNA from 1 species
UGAGCGGAGAUAUAUGGAGCUUGCUUUAUAUAACUUAGCAGCGAACGGGUGAGUAACACGUAGAUAAUCUAUCCUAUACUGGGGGAUAGCCCGAUGAAAGUUGGAUUAAUACCGCAUAUAGCUAUAUAGUUGCAUGAUUAUGUAGUGAAAGAUUUAUUGGUAUAGGAGGAGUCUGCGGCACAUUAGCUAGUAGGUGAGGUAAAGGCUUACCUAGGCGACGAUGUGUAGCCGGUCUGAGAGGAUGAACGGCCACAAUGGAACUGAGACACGGUCCAUACUCCUACGGGAGGCAGCAGUGGGGAAUAUUGCACAAUGGGGGAAACCCUGAUGCAGCAACGCCGCGUGAGUGAAGAAGGUUUUCGGACUGUAAAGCUCUGUUAGCAGGGAAGAGGAAGGACGGUACCUGCAGAGGAAGCCACGGCUAACUACGUGCCAGCAGCCGCGGUAAUACGUAGGUGGCAAGCGUUGUUCGGAAUAACUGGGCGUAAAGGAUGCGUAGGCGGUUAAACAAGUUAUAUGUUAAAUAUAUAGGCUUAACCUGUAGAAAGCAUAUAAAACCGUUUAACUAGAGUGCAGGAGAGGUAAGUGGAAUUCCUAGUGUAGCGGUGAAAUGCGUAGAGAUUAGGAAGAACACCAGUGGCGAAGGCGACUUACUGGACUGUAACUGACGCUGAGGCAUGAGAGCAUGGGGAGCAAACAGGAUUAGAUACCCUGGUAGUCCAUGCUGUAAACGAUGGGUACUAGGUGUGGGUUGUGAAUAACAAUUCGUGCCGUCGCAAACGCAAUAAGUACCCCG